rnacentral:tRNA from 1 species
GGAUGAAUACAGCUCAGAGGUAAAGUGAAAGCUUGGCAUGCAUGAGGUCCUGGGUUCAAUCCCCAGUGCCUCUA